AGAGUUUGAUCCUGGCUCAGGAUGAACGCUGACAGAAUGCUUAACACAUGCAAGUCUUUGGCGAAGCUGUGCUUGCACAGACUAGCCAAGGCGGACGGGUGAGUAACGCGUAAGGAACUUACCCUGCAGACAGGGAUAACAGAUGGAAACGACUGAUAAGACCUGGUAUUGUCAGGCUGACGCAUGUCAAGCCUGAUGAAAGGAGACGCUGCAGGAGAGCCUUGCGUCCUAUUAGCUAGUUGGUGGGGUAAUGGCCUACCAAGGCGAUGAUAGGUAGCCGGCCUGAGAGGGUGAACGGCCACAAGGGGACUGAGAUACGGCCCUUACUCCUACGGGAGGCAGCAGUGGGGAAUAUUGGACAAUGGGGGCAACCCUGAUCCAGCAAUUCUGUGUGCACGAAGAAGGUUUUCGGAUUGUAAAGUGCUUUCAGCAGGGAAGAAGAAAGUGACGGUACCUGCAGAAGAAGCGACGGCUAAAUACGUGCCAGCAGCCGCGGUAAUACGUAUGUCGCAAGCGUUAUCCGGAAUUAUUGGGCAUAAAGGGCAUCUAGGCGGCCCUGUAAGUCUAGGGUGAAAACCUGCGGCUCAACCGCAGGCUUGCCCCGGAAACUACAGGGCUAGAGUACCGGAGAGGUGGACGGAACUGCACGAGUAGAGGUGAAAUUCGUAGAUAUGUGCAGGAAUGCCGAUGAUGAAGAUAGUUCACUGGACGGCAACUGACGCUGAAGUGCGAAAGCUAGGGGAGCAAACAGGAUUAGAUACCCUGGUAGUCCUAGCUGUAAACGAUGAUUACUGGGUGUGGGCAUGAAGAGUGUCCGUGCCGAAGCAAAUGCGAUAAGUAAUCCGCCUGGGGA
rnacentral:rRNA from 1 species